AAUCACAUGGUUUAAAUAUUAAAGUUCCGGCGGUUGAAGAUGGGCAUGCGUGCCAUUAGAUAGUUGGUGAGGUAACGGCUCACCAAGUCGACGAUGGCUACGGGGUCUUAAAGGAUGGUCCCGCACACUGGUACUGAGACACGGACCAGACUCCUACGGGAGGCAGCAGUGAGGAAUAUUGGUCAAUGGGGGCAACCCUGAACCAGCCAUGCCGCGUGUAGGAAGACUGCCCUAUGGGUUGUAAACUACUUUUAUACGGGAAUAAUGGUUGCUACGUGUAGCGAUUUGAAGGUACCGUAAGAAUAAGCACCGGCUAACUCCGUGCCAGCAGCCGCGGUAAUACGGAGGGUGCAGGCGUUAUCCGGAUUUAUUAGGUUUAAAGGGUGCGUAGGCGGACCUUUAAGUCAGUGGUGAAAGUUUGCAGCUUAACUGUAAAAUUGCCAUUGAAACUGAAGGUCUUGAAUACAGUGGAGGUAGGCGGAAUGUGUAGUGUAGCGGUGAAAUGCAUAGAUAUUACACAGAACACCGAUUGCGAAGGCAGCUUACUAUACUGUUAUUGACGCUGAUGCACGAAAGCGUGGGGAGCGAACAGGAUUAGAUACCCUGGUAGUCCACGCCGUAAACGAUGAUCACUGGUUGUACGCAAUACAUCGUGUGGGACUGAGGGAAACCAUUAAGUGAUCCACCUGGGGAGUACGUUCGCAAGAAUGAAACUCAAAGGAAUUGACGGGGGCCCGCACAAGCGGAGGAACAUGUGGUUUAAUUCGAUGAUACGCGAGGAACCUUACCUGGGCUUAAAUGUAGACUGCAUUAUUUGGAAACAGAUAUUUCCUUCGGGACUGUUUACAAGGUGCUGCAUGGUUGUCGUCAGCUCGUGCCGUGAGGUGUCGGGUUAAGUCCCAUAACGAGCGCAACCCCUAUUGUUAGUUGCUAACAGGUCAAGCUGAGGACUCUAACGAGACUGCCGGUGUAAACCGCGAGGAAGGUGGGGAUGACGUCAAAUCAGCACGGCCCUUAUGUCCAGGGCUACACACGUGUUACAAUGGUCGAUACAAAGGGCAGCUACUUGGUAACAAGAUGCUAAUCCUCAAAGUCGAUCUCAGUUCGGAUCGGAGUCUGCAACUCGACUUCGUGAAGUUGGAUUCGCUAGUAAUCGUAUAUCAGCCAUGAUACGGUGAAUACGUUCCCGGGCCUUGUACACACCGCCCGUCAAGU
rnacentral:rRNA from 1 species